rnacentral:tRNA from 1 species
GGCCUCGUAGCUCAGUUGGCUAGAGCGUUGGCUGUACUAAAGCCUUCCCCUUGCUGGCGUGUGAUCGAUUCCCACCGAGGCCA